rnacentral:lncRNA from 1 species
UAUAGCUCUUCUAUUUUUGUUCACUAGAAUUCUAGAACCCUGACAACAUGGAGUUGCUCCUUAACUAAAAGAGCAGUGACAAGUGGGGGACAGAAUGUCGGGUGCCAUGACAGAGUCAACAGGAAACAAGAAAGCUGAUUAGCUAGAAGUGGUCUGGAGUGUUUGCAAAGAGGUUUGUCCACGGAUUAUGUGUUAUAUGAUGGGAUUUUCCCUUCAAUACAUCACAUCUCCAGAUACAGCACUGAUUAGAAGUGAUGGCAAACAACCUUGUCCUUGACCUUGGGGAAAAGGCAUUAUAGAUGCCACUUUUAGGUGUGAUGUCACCAGCAUAUUUUCU